GAACUACAAAAAACACCACAUAGAGAGACACGAACUCUCAAAGAAACUAUGGAGCAAAGAGAGAGUUGCCAUCCUUCAUUGAGAGGAGGGAAGAGAAUGAGCACGUACAGCCACGGUCUCUCUUCAUCUCAGAUCCGAUCACUUGCUGCCUUGUGUGAAACUUUCAUCCCUCCAUUGCCAGUGGACGAUCUCAACAAGGAAAUCCCAGUUAAUAAGUUGCAGGCUGUUCGUUCCUUCUACAAAUCUUCUGGGUCUGAGCCUCCAAUCCCCGAUGAGGUAGCAGAGUUUCUGGUCAGGAGAGGUGUACAAGAAGUUGUGUUUCUAGUGAAAUUGGUUUUGAAGGUUCUCUCUUUCAGAUUGGGAACACUGUUGCUUUGUGGGUUCAUGUGUUUUGAUUGGAACUGGCCCUUCAUUCACAAAUUCUCUGAAAUUUCUUUAGAAAAGAGAGAGGAAAUUCUCAAGAAAUGGUCGAGGGAGAAGUUCUUCAUACCUCUCAGAGUAGUGUUUGCAGCUGUAAAAAUCUUCUGCUUGUACACCUUCUUCUCCAUGACAGAUGAAAAUUUACAGAACCCAGCAUGGGAAGCAAUUGGAUAUCAUAAAGACACAAGGGAAAAAUUGAGAAAAACCAAAGAGGAGAGACCUCUUCAAAGGGGGGUCAUAGAACUUGCAAAUGAAGAUGACUCGACUCUUAUCCAAUCUCUCAACCAAAAAGGCCUCCAAGUCAUUGAAGAUCUAGAGCACAAAACCUGCAAGAUCAAAUGUGAUGUUGUGAUUGUUGGUUCUGGUUGUGGUGGAGGGGUUGCAGCUGCAGUGCUUGCAAGCUCAGGCCAGAAAGUACUGGUCCUAGAGAAAGGGAACUACUAUGUGCCAGAAGAUUAUUCUUCACUGGAAGGGCCUUCUAUGGCUGAACUUUAUGAGUCCGGUGGAAUUCUAUCAACUCGCAAUGGGAAAACGAUGAUAUUGGCUGGAUCAACAGUAGGUGGAGGCUCCGCUGUAAACUGGUCUGCCUGCAUAAGGACACCAGAUUCUGUUCUCAGAGACUGGCGUGUGGAUCAUAAGAUUCCACUUUUUGGAAGCUACGACUAUCAAAAUGCAAUGGAAGCUGUGUGUAAGAGGAUUGGUGUUACAGAUAAUUGUUCCAAAGAAGGAUUUCAGAAUCAAGUUCUUCGGAAAGGGUGUGAGAAUCUUGGCUUUAAAAUUGAUUCAGUUCCAAGGAAUUCCUCUGGAGAUCAUUAUUGUGGAUCUUGCUGCUACGGCUGUAGAACAGGAGAAAAGAAAGGGACUGAUUCCACCUGGCUGGUUGACGCUGUUGUCUGCGGUGCUGUGAUCCUAACAGGAUGCAAAGCUGAUAAAUUCAUAUUGGAGGAUGGUAACAUUGGAAGUAGGAAAAAAUGCUUGGGAGUGGUUGCGAGAGCUUCAAAUACAAACAUCACUAAAAAGCUGCAGGUGGAGGCUAGAGUAACACUAUCGGCAUGCGGUUCUCUCCUGACACCUCCUUUAAUGAUCUCCAGUGGUUUGGUGAAUCCAAAUAUUGGCAGGAACCUUCAUCUUCAUCCAGUUGUAAUGGCCUGGGGAUACUUUCCAGAACAUUUAUCACCUUUUAAAGGCAAAAUUUACGAGGGAGGAAUCAUCACAUCUAUUCACAAAGUGGUCUCAGAGUGGUCCAAGGUCUGCGCCAUUAUAGAAACGCCAGCAAUUGGGCCAGCCUCAUUUGCAUCAUUAUCUCCAUGGGUUUCAGGGCAGGACUUCAAGGACAAGAUGGUAAAGUAUGCUAGAACAGCUCACUUGUUUGCAUUGAUCAGAGACCAAGGCUCAGGAGAAGUGAAAAUGGAAGGUAGAAUUAGUCACCGCCUGGACCAGCUGGAUAAGGACAAUCUUAGAAUUGGGUUGAGGCGAGCUUUAAGAAUUUUAGUUGCUGCUGGAGCUGUGGAAGUAGGUACUUACCGAAGUGAUGGCCAAAAGAUUGCAUGCAAAGGAAUUAAGGAGAAAGAUUUGGAGGAGUUCUUGGACACAGUUUCAGCACCUGGUGGACUAAAAUCAAAGGAGCAGCACUGGACCAUGCUCUUUUCUGCACAUCAAAUGGGUAGUUGUAGGAUGGGAGCCACAGAGGAAGAAGGUGCCGUUGAUGAAAAUGGAGAAAGCUGGGAGGCCAUGAACUUGUACGUAUGCGAUGGAAGCGUCUUGCCAACUGCAAUUGGGGUCAACCCCAUGAUCACAAUCCAAUCCACAGCAUACUGCAUUUCCAACAAAAUAGCUGAAUCCCUCAAACAUUAAUAGACAGCUAAUUUCUAGCAUGCAAGAAUUAUCCUCUGGUAAUUGUAUUUAAGGAAUAAUCAAUAAAGAAUUUUCCAUUGAUAAUUGUAUUUAAGGAAUAAUCAAUAAAGAAUUUUCCAUUGA
rnacentral:misc_RNA from 1 species